rnacentral:misc_RNA from 1 species
UUUCCGUAGGUGAACCUGCGGAAGGAUCAUUAUUGUAUAACCGAGGUGCGAGGGCUGUCGCUCACCCGAAAGGUUGUGCACGCACGAGUGCCCUCACAACCUGCCAACUCACCCCUAUGUGCACCACUGCGUGGGUCCCCCCUUGGCCUGUCCGGAGGGGGGCUAACCUUCUCAAAUAAACGUUGAACGCAGGGUAGAAUGACUUUUUUGCUUUUGCGAACACGCUAUCAACAACACUUCCAACAACGCAUCUCUUGGCUACCGAAUCGACGAAGAAGG